CGAACCCGGGCCGCGCGCCCUUCCGCAGGGCGGGAUGGAUGCUGUACCCCGGCCGCUGGCCGAGCUUGCGCCCCGGGCGCAGAUUUUUAAUUGGAAGGAAUCGCCCGUAGAUGUGAUUCAGCUAUUCUUUUCCUUAGUCACACGAACACAUCAGAGAUUCUGGAAACUGACGUCCACAGAAAGAUCUGGAACUUUAUCCUACAAGGUCAUACCCCGCCAGAAAAACAUGAAGACGCAGAGUGACUCCGUUAAGGGAAAGUGCCAAGAUGAUGGGCUUUCUGCUGCCAAGCAGAGGGACUCGGAGAUCAUACAGCAGAAGCAGAAAAAGGCAAAUGAGAAGAAGGAGGAAUCCAAGUAGCUUUGCGGCUUCGUGUCCAACCCUCUUGUCCUACGCCUGUGUGCCUGGAGCCAGUCCCACCAUGCUCGAGUUUCUUCCUGUAGUGCUCACAGGUCCCAGCACUGAUGGCAUUCCCUUUGCCCUGAGUCUGCAGCAGGUUCCUUUUGUGCUUCUCCUCAGUUAGCCUCUCUCCCCUUGGGCCACUCCUGGGGGUGAGGGGGUUACCCCUUCCCAGUGUUUUAUAUUCCUGUGGGCCAUACCUCAAAGUAUUAAAAGUAGCUUUGUUUUGUUUUGUUUUGUUUUGUUUGUUUGUUUUUGAGACAGGGUUUCUCUGUGGCUUUGGAGGCUGUCCUGGAACUAGCUCUUGUAGACCAGGCUGGUCUCGAACUCACAGAGAUCCACCUGCCUCUGCCUCCCGAGUGCUGGGAUUAAAGGUGUACGCCACCAAUGCCUGGCUUUAAA
rnacentral:lncRNA from 1 species